AACGCGAAGAACCUUACCAGGUCUUGACAUCCCGUUGACCACUGUAGAGAUAUAGUUUCCCCUUCGGGGGCAACGGUGACAGGUGGUGCAUGGUUGUCGUCAGCUCGUGUCGUGAGAUGUUGGGUUAAGUCCCGCAACGAGCGCAACCCUUGAUCUUAGUUGCCAUCAUUUAGUUGGGCACUCUUAGGUGACUGCCGGUGACAAACCGGAGGAAGGUGGGGAUGACGUCAAAUCAUCAUGCCCCUUAUGACCUGGGCUACACACGUGCUACAAUGGACGAUACAAACGGUUGCCAACUCGCGAGAGGGAGCUAAUCCGAUAAAGUCGUUCUCAGUUCGGAUUGUAGGCUGCAACUCGCCUACAUGAAGCCGGAAUCACUAGUAAUCGCGGAUCAGCAUGCCGCGGUGAAUACGUUCCCGGGUCUUGUACACACCGA
rnacentral:rRNA from 1 species